UUCCAGACUCCUACGGGAGGCAGCAGUGGGGAAUAUUGCACAAUGGGGGGAACCCUGAUGCAGCGACGCCGCGUGGGUGAAGGAGUACUUCGGUAUGUAAAGCCCUAUCAGCAGGGAAGAAGAAAUGACGGUACCUGAGUAAGAAGCACCGGCUAAAUACGUGCCAGCAGCCGCGGUAAUACGUAUGGUGCAAGCGUUAUCCGGAUUUACUGGGUGUAAAGGGAGCGCAGGCGGCACGGCAAGCCUGAUGUGAAAGCCCGCGGCCCAACCGCGGGACUGCAUUGGGAACUACCGGGCUGGAGUGCCGGAGAGGGAGGCGGAAUUCCUAGUGUAGCGGUGAAAUGCGUAGAUAUUAGGAGGAACACCAGUGGCGAAGGCGGCCUACUGGACGGUGACUGACGCUGAGGCUCGAAAGCGUGGGGAGCAAACAGGAUUAGAUACCCUAGUACCA
rnacentral:rRNA from 1 species